rnacentral:misc_RNA from 1 species
UAUCUACAUGACCUUUUACAUGAAAACAUCUUAAUAAUUUUUCGAUUGGGGUUACUGUGAAUUGAAAAUGUCCUGUAGAGUCCAAGCUUUUACCCCCUUAACAUCUUGUAGAUUCUUAGGAUGAUCAAAGAGGUUUGUGAAAUUUCUGGCUAGGAAGGGAGUGAGAUCUAGUCCUACAUUGGCCCGGGGGUACUUCCCUUGUUGUAUUUUGUACUUAGCUCAUUGGAGGGUUGUAUUUCCAAUAAUGAAAACUAGACAAUGUAUGUUACUUUCAUUGUUUAUGUUUGAUUGCUUUAGCAUUGUCCGGAAUAAAAUGAUAUUGGGUAAAAUUGGAAACAAAAAUACAGGGGAAAGUCUCAAAAUAUAAUUUCAAUUUGCUUUUCCAGAUUUG